rnacentral:sRNA from 1 species
CAUGGACAGCCUGGAUCUGCUGGGUGAAGGGAGAAGUUAUGUCCAGGGUGGGACAGAGAGGAUGGCGAGAGAUUUCCUCACUGCUCAGAACAGUGGGAAAUUCAAAACUUAGGGAUUAUUUCUGAAAUUUUCCAUUUAAAAAUUUCCAUUUAUAAUUGACCAAGGGUAACUGAAACCAGAGAAAGCAAGACUGAGGAUAAGGGAGGGGCCUCCUGUACUCCAAGAGCACUGAAUCCGGAAAAACUCAACACAUUGAUGGAGUCAUAUAUUUAAUUUUUUCUUAAAAGCCACCUGCGGGAUAUUGUAGAAACACUGCGCUGCCAAUCACAGCUUGUGAUGUGACACAUUCAUUCUGCAAGUUUAAACUUCCCCUAGAUUGGUUCUUGGGGAAAAGCUGUGUUUCAGAGACAAGAUUGAAGAACUUCACCUGCAUAUGAUGGAGGAUGAGAAUGGGAACCACAGGUGUCAUUGGUGGUUUUGUUUUACAAAGUCUUCACAUUUCUGCUGAGUCACGGGACUAAGUUCAACACAAUUUCUACUUUCCGCCUUCCUUUGGAAUAAUAGUUUUGGAAGCCAAGUAUUAGUAUAUGAUAUCAGCCUGGAGUCGGGGACUCUGAAACCUAAUCUGAAGUGUGUUUAACAAGGGUUCUGAACGCUGGGACUUAGUGCCGAGGGGAACAAGGAGACAGUGUGUCCUCAGGGGCAGCGUGGCCGCCCCUAGAGCCACAGCAAGCAAGAAGAAUCGCAGCAUUUGUGGGCAGCACCGA